rnacentral:tRNA from 1 species
UGGCUCAGUGGUAGAGCACGUGCCUUGCAUGCAUGAGGCCCUGGGUUCGAUUCCUCAG